rfam:TPA: Bos taurus chromosome 26, whole genome shotgun sequence.
UCCCUGGUGGUCCAGUGGCUAAGACUCUGCGUUCCCAAUGUGGGGGGCCUGGGUUCAAUCCCUGGUCAGGGAA